UUCCGUUUCUGUCAUUCCAGUCUCAUUUGCAAUAUAAUAUAUUAAGAUUACAGCAGAGGACUAGCUGAAUCGGUAGAUUCACCGGGAAAACCAUGUGUUACAAAAAUUAAUUACAUCUCUUUAGCUCUUGGCUCGAACCCCACCGAGGUUAAUUUUGCAUAUUAUCCUUCCGAUAUCGUUUCAGCAAAUAAUGAAUUCCGAGUAGAGGUUCACAAGCUGUUGAAUUUAGACGAAGGACAAGAUUUUCGACUUCCACAGAAGGCUACAAGUUAUUCACGGUGAUUACAAUAUUGAUUGGAACAAUGUACAUAGUAGUUUAAAAAGAAGGAAAACAAGCAUUGAAGACAAACCAUGGAGUGGGAGCCCAACAGUUUCGCCCAUUGAAAAGAAUCGCCAUCUUGUGGACGAUUUGCAACGGAGACUGCUUGUAGUGGUACCUUUGUAUAGAAAGGAUGCACAAGGCUUCUUCAAAGCACAAGUGACACACGCAGGAUAGUGUAUUAUAUGGGU